rnacentral:rRNA from 1 species
AGCAGACAGUGGAUGCCUUGGUAUCAGAGGCCGAAGAAGGACGCGCGUGGCCGCGAUAGUCGUCGGGGAGUUGCCAAGAAGCGGUGAUCCGGCGGUGUCCGAAUGGGGAAACCCCGCCUUGCGUAAGCAGGGCGAGCCCCGCCUUUUGGUGGGGUAGGGAACCAUCCGAACUGAAAUAUCUCAGUAAGAUGAGGAAAAGAAAUCGAACAGAUGCCCUUAGUAAGCGACGAGCGAAACGGGCAGAGCCCAAACUCCUUGUGCUUCGCACAAGGAAAUUCGAAGCACGAAUCUCGAAGCACGAAACAAUUGCAAACUCAAAUGUUUAAAAAUUCAAAACUCUUGUUUUGGUCAUUUGGAUUUCGAUAUUUGAAUUUGUUUCGAAUUUCGAAUUUAGGAUUUCGGAUUUCCUCAUGCGGAGCAUGAGGGGGGUUGUAGGACUCCCAUCGUGGAGGUCGGAGAAUAGCAGAAGACCGUGGAAUAGGUUGCCAAAGAACGUGAAAGCCGUGUAUGCGAAAUUCGAAGAUCACUAGGGAUGUUCCUGAGUACCAUGGGAGACGGCAAACUCCUUUGGGAAGCUGGGGAGACCACUCUCCAAGGCUAAAUACCUCUGAUGACCGAUAGUGAACAAGUACCGUGAGGGAAAGGUGAAAAGAAGGGUGAGAAACCCAGUGAAAUAGUACCUGAAACUGUUUGCUAACGAACAGACAGAGCUCGUGCCUAGCACGGGUAAUGUCGUGCCUAUUGAAGAAUGAACCGGCGAGUAUACGUUCAUCGCUAGUCUAAACCAGUUUCUGGUGAAGGCGUAGCGAAAGCGAGUCUGAAUAGGGCGUUUAGCGCUGGACGUAUGGCCCGAAACCGGGCGAGCUAACCAUGGGCAGGGUGAACUCCGCCGAAAGGCGGAGGGAAGCCCGAACCGUUAUGGGUUGCAAGCCAUUCGGAUGACCUGUGGUUGGAAGCAAAAUACUUAACGAGCCCGGAGAUAGCUGGUUCUCCCCGAAAUAUAUCUAGGUAUAGGCUUUUCACUUUAACCGGUGGGGUAGAGCACUGCAUGGAUGUUGGCGGGAAACCGCCGAUAUUCAAGCAAACUUCGAAUACGCCGGCGUAUGUGAGAGGACUCAGCGGACUAGGGCUAAGCUUAGUUUGCUAGAGGGAAACAACCCAGACCUUCGUCUAAGGCCUCUAAAUCUCUGCUAAGUCAAAGGAAGUCAUCUACCUCAGACAUCCAGGAGGUCGGCUCAGAAGCAGCCAUCCUUAAAAGAAAGCGUAACAGCUCACUGGCCGAGGGAGGUGGCGCCGAAAAUAUACGAGGAUAAGCAGGGUGCCGAAGACAGGGAUCCUGUGCUUUGCACAGGGUGGUAGGGGAGCGUCCCGCCUACGGUGAAGGUGGACCGUAAGGUAACUGCUGGAGUUGGCGGGAGUGAGAAUGCCGGUAUGAGUAGCGUGAAACCGGUGAGAAUCCGGUUCGCCGAAAGCCCAAGGGUUCCGAAGCAACGUUCGUCGACUUCGGGUUAGGCGGUCCUAAGGUGAGGCCAUAUGGCGUAGCCGAUGGAAAACGGGUUGAUAUUCCCGUUCUUGGUUGUAGUCGUUAUCAGCUGGGGAGGGACGAUGAAGGAUAACCUGGGCGGCGCGAGGAAGUUGCGUUCGUCUAAGCCGUAAAGCAGAAUGUGUUGGAAAAUCCGCAGAUUCGACGCUGAAUGGUGAUGGGAAGGCCAAACGCAAGUGAGGCCAACCCGGGUGAUUUCAUCAUCCGAGAAAAGCUUCGCAGUGAGACUACAACCAAACCGUACCGACAACCGACACUGGUGGGCUGGUAGAGCAUACCAAGGCGAGCGGGAGAAGGAGGUUUAAGGAAUUCGGCAAAUUAGCUGGGCGUACCUUUGGUAUAUGCCCUCCCCGUGAGAUGUCGCGCAAGCGCUGUCUUAUGGGGUUCAACAAAAGAUUACAGAGCGACUGUUUACCAAAAACACAGGUCUGUGCAAACUCGAAAGAGGAGGUAUACAGGCUGAGGCCUGCCCAGUGCCGGAAGGUUAAUUGCGGGGGUGAGUCCGACUUGUCGGACAAGCCUCCAAUCGAAGCCCCGGUGAACGGCAGCAGUAACUAUAACUGUUCUAUGGUAGCGCAGUCUCUAGUCGCUUAAUUAGCGACCCGCACGAAAGGCGUCACGACUUUGUAACUGUCUUGAACCUUCACCCGGCGAAAUUGAAAUGGCUGUGAAGAUGCGGCCUACUGACUGCAGGACAAAAAGACCCCGUGGAGCUUUACUACAGCUUGGCACUGAUUUUUCAUACCGAAUCGUCGAGCAUAGGCGGGACCUCGCAGAUUUAUUUUGCGGGGGUCACUGGAAUACCGCUCGUUUAGCAUGAGAAAUCUUACUCAAAGAUUCUGGAAACGAAUCUGGGGACACUGUCUGGUGGGUAGUUUAACUGGGGAGGUUGCUUGCUAAAGAGUACCGCAAGCGUGCAAUGGUACCCUUAGUCCCGAUGGAAACGGGACCGGACGUGCAAUGGCAUAAGGGUGCUUGACUGUGAGGCAAACUAGCCGAGCAGAUGCGAAAGCAGGUCAUAGUGAUCCUCGUGUGCUUUGUGGAAGGCACCGGGCUUAACGGAUAAAAGCUACCCCGGGGAUAACAGAGUAGUCGCGCCUAAGCGUCCAUAGCGACGGCGCGGUUCGCUACCUCGAUGUCGGCUCAACGCAUCCUGGGGGUGGAGAAGCUCCCAAGGGUUGGACUGUUCGCCCAUUAAAGCGUUACGCGAGCUGGGUUCAGAACGUCGUAAGACAGUUCGGCCUCUAUCCGCAGUCAGCGUGGGAUUCUUGAGGGAAGCUGGCCACAGUACGAGAGGACCUGGCUGGGGCAGUCCCUGGUGUUCCUGUUGUCGCUGUCAAGCGCACCGCAGGGUAGCUACACUGCUUCGAGAUAACCGCUGAAAGCAUCUAAGCGGGAAGCUCAUCCCAAGAUAAGGAAUCCAUCCGAGUUCAGCUCGGGAGAGACCCCUAGGAGACUACUAGGUUGAUAGGCGGCCGGUGGAAGUCCGGUAACGGAUUAAGCCUAGCCGUACUAAUUGGUCGAAAG